GGGGUGGGGACUGGUAGAGGGAACCCCAGGGGCGGAUUAAUGCCUAGCCUAUAGCCUAGGGGCCCAUUAGCGGUAGGGGCCCAUGAGGUCCGGCCAGUGGUGGAGCUACCAGGGGUGCAGUUGUACCAGGGAACGUGCUGCUGCGUCCCUGAAGAGAAGUUCCAUGCAUUUGAGUGUGUGUCUCUGCGGCGCAUUGCGCAUGACGUCACCAACUGCGCCUGAGGCUGAUUGCUUCCAAUCGGCCCGCACCAUGAAAGUAGCCAGCAGCAGGAAGCUGUUCUUCCCCACCAACGUCACGCGCUGUAAACUUUGAGAGGAGCGAACACAUUCCAGGAGGCAGGCAGGAGCUAUGAGGGGAGGGGGGGUACCUGCCUAGCAACUGGCUUCCUCAAAAAAAAUUUUUGUCAACGUGUGCAGGGAAAAAAACUGUGCGAGUGAUGUAUGAUGAGUGUGUGUGUGUCUCCUACAUGGUGUGCGCAUUUAUUACAACAACAGCGCGUUCCCCUGGAAGAGAAUGUAGAUAAGUGGCUGCUUCCUGCAAUGCACCAGUGACGUAAUAUGGCAGGCGGAGACUCCUGUUCCUGUGCUGGCUGAUUUGAAAUAUGGCGCCUUUGAUAGCGAUAAGGCAGAGAAGCUAUGUGUACAAUUUAACCCAUUGUGUGCAGUACUACAGGAAGAUAUGGAAACAAAGGCAGUUUUUUUUAUUUAAGGGUAAGCCCACUGAUUGUCAGCAUGGCUUGUCUGUAGUACAGUGGUGGGAAAGUAUUUGGGAAACCUACAGCCAUUCGAUCUUUUUCUGGACACCCCAUAGUGCAGUGUUAAUACAACUGUUUCAUUCCAUUGAUGCAAAAGGCUGUAGUGGGCCUAUUUUGUGAAUUUUUGUGAUUAAUUUGACAUCUGUAGCUCACAUAAUAUGUCAAAUUAUGUAAUCAAAACUGAUAUUCUACCUUAGCAAUAAAGUAUCUUCAUAUUGUCAUAUUCUCAAACA